rnacentral:rRNA from 1 species
UGGAGCAAACAGGAUUAGAUACCCCGGUAGUCCACGCCCUAAACGAUGAACACUAGUCGUCGCUCUGCUAGUCAGGGCGGUGAUGCACUUAACAGAUUAAGUGUUCCGCCUGGGGAGUACGGUCGCAAGAUUAAAACUCAAAGGAAUAGACGGGGACCCGCACAAGUGGUGGAGCAUGUGGUUUAAUUCGAAGAUACGCGAAGAACCUUACCUAGCCUUGACAUUGAUAGAACACCCUAGAGAUAGAGUGGUGCCCUUCGGGGAACUUGAAAACAGGUGCUGCACGGCUGUCGUCAGCUCGUGUCGUGAGAUGUUGGGUUAAGUCCCGCAACGAGCGCAACCCUCGUCCUUAGUUGCCAGCAGGUUAUGCUGGGCACUCUAAGGAGACUGCCUUCGCAAGGAGGAGGAAGGUGAGGACGACGUCAAGUCAUCAUGGCCCUUAUGGCUAGGGCUACACACGUGCUACAAUGGGGCGUACAGAGUGUUGCGAUACCGCGAGGUGGAGCCAAUCACUUAAAGCGUCUCUCAGUUCGGAUUGAAGUCUGCAACUCGACUUCAUGAAGCUGGAAUCACUAGUAAUCGUAGAUCAGCAAUGCUACGGUGAAUACGUUCCCGGGUCUUGUACACACCGCCCGUCACA